AGUGGAGUUACAUGAGCUGACUUCCGGGUUUACAAAGGUUCCUCUGGCCACUGUGCCGAGAGCAGACCCUGGAGCCGGCACGACUUCCUGACAAUUCCGAUGUGGUUUGUGAAAGAAAGAGAGGAACCAAGGAUUAAUAGGUGUUUGGCCUGCACAACUGGAAGGAAGGAGGUACCAUCAAUGAAGAUGGGGAAGAAUGAGGUGAAGCCAAUUUGGAGAAAGAUCAAGAGGGCAGAAGGCAAGUGGUGUAUGGCUGGAUUCUCUGUUCAGGAUUUCACAAGACUGUAAUCAAG